ACAAUAACAAAGAAAAUGAAGCAGAUGAAAAUUUUUUGAAAGAAUUUAACAACUUCAUGACCACUCUUUCUCAGCUCUUUAUUUUCUCAAGAACAUGUGUAAGUUACAUUGCCGGUUGGGUUGUGAGAAAAUUAAUAAAUAAAAAAAACUAUUAUCCGAUGUGAAACGUGCAGAAAUGCUCUACUUCAAGAUUUUCCACAUUUGGCACAAUUCGAACGAAACUGUCUUAUAGAAGCUAAAACUAAUGGAGGUCUAUUUUUUCCCAGUGAAUCUGUCGUUCGGAUUUGUAAAACAACGAAAAAGUUAUUAAGGCAUUCCUUAGAUAAACUUAACGUUAAACGAACACAUGUUUGAUGAUGCAGUUAAUGAUACAAAUCAUAUUUAUUUUCUUUCGAAGCAAGUGUGCAAAGCAUACUUGUAUUUAAGACUAUAUGCUGCAACAAAGAUAACAUCUGAAACUGCUGUGGGGACAAACACUAACUCGACUAACUCGACGAAUUAUCUUGGAGCGUCAGUGAAAGCUGUUUAACUUUUUAUUUAUUCGCAUGAAGUGCGAUAAAAUAAGCAUAGCAUAAGUUCUUGUAACAAGUAGCAUAAUAGUAUGGUUUGGCAUGAAACGCACAAAAAAAUUUGUUGUUUUAAAUUUAAUGCCAGUCUUUAUUAGUUCCUAUUUAUUGGUAAGGAUUAUUUUCUCAAAGGCAGUCUAGAAUAAUAUAAGCAUUUGCAUGUAUUCGAUGACUUCUCUUGUAUUUAUUAUUCGCAUAAAGUGCAAUAAAACAAACAUAAA